rnacentral:rRNA from 1 species
GAUGAACGCUAGCGGCAGGCCUAAUACAUGCAAGUCGAACGGGUGGUCGCAAGACCACUAGUGGCGCACGGGUGCGUAACGCGUAACCAACCUGCCCCGAUCUGGGGGAUAGCCCGCCGAAAGGCGGAUUAAUACCGCAUAUACCCGCAGCCUGCCACAAGCAACGGGGGAAGAAUUAUUUGAACGGGGUGGGGUUGCGUGACAUUAGCUAGUUGGCGGGGUAAGGGCCCACCAAGGCGACGAUGUCUAGGGGACCUGAGAGGGUGAUCCCCCACACUGGCACUGAGAUACGGGCCAGACUCCUACGGGAGGCAGCAGUAGGGAAUAUUGGGCAAUGGGCGAGAGCCUGACCCAGCCAUGCCGCGUGCCGGAUGAAGGCCUUCUGGGUUGUAAACGGCUUUUCUCAGGGAAGAAAAAGACCUUGCGAGGUACACUGACGGUACCUGAGGAAUAAGCACCGGCUAACUCCGUG